rnacentral:rRNA from 1 species
UACGUAGGUGGCGAGCGUUGUCCGGAAUUACUGGGUGUAAAGCGCGUGUAGGCGGCAGGCCAAGUCGGUGGUGAAAGCGCCCGGCUCAACUGGGCGAGGUCCAUGGAAACUGGUCAGCUGGAGGACGGUAGAGGCGAGUGGAAUUCCCGGUGUAGUGGUGAAAUGCGUAGAGAUCGGGAGGAACACCUGUGGCGAAGGCGGCUCGCUGGGCCGGUCCUGACGCUGGAACGCGAAGGCGUGGGGAGCGAACGGG